GACGAACGCUGGCGGCGUGCUUAACACAUGCAAGUCGAACGAUGAAGCUGGAUCUUGCUCUGGCGGAUUAGUGGCGAACGGGUGAGUAACACGUGAGAAAUCUGCCCUUGACUCUGGGAUAACUGCGGGAAACUGUAGCUAAUACCGGAUACUUUCCCUGGUGGGCAUCCACUGGGGAAGAAAGAAUUUCGGUCAAGGAUGAUCUCGCGGCCUAUCAGCUUGUUGGUGAGGUAAUGGCUCACCAAGGCGACGACGGGUAGCCGGCCUGAGAUGGUGUCCGGCCACACUGGGACCGAGACACGGGCCACACUCCUACGGGAGGCAGCAGUGGGGAAUAUUGGACAAUGGGCGCAAGCCUGAUGCAGCAACGCCGCGUGAGGGAUGAAGGCCUUCCGGUUGUAAACCUCUUUUAGCAGGGAAGAAGCGAAAGUGACGGUACCUGCAGAAAAAGCACCGGCUAACUACGUGCCAGCCGCCGCGGUAA
rnacentral:rRNA from 1 species